rnacentral:rRNA from 1 species
UACAGAGGGUGCAAGCGUUGUUCGGAAUUACUGGGCGUAAAGCGCGUGUAGGCGGCGGCUCAAGUCUUGUGUGAAAGCCCUGGGCUCAACCCAGGAAGUGCGCAAGAUACUGAGCUGCUGGAGUGACGGAGAGGAUGGCGGAAUUCCCGGUGUAGAGGUGAAAUUCGUAGAUAUCGGGAGGAACACCUGUGGCGAAGGCGGCCAUCUGGACGUCCACUGACGCUGAGACGCGAAAGCAUGGGGAGCAAACAGG